GGAACAUGUGUACUAAGUUUCAAGUUGAUUGGACUUCCGCUUCAUCAAAAACUACCUUGACCAAAAACUUUAACCUGAAGUGGGACGAACGGACGGACAGACGGACGGACGGACGGACGAUCGGACGAGCAGACGGAACGACGCACAGAUCAGAAAACAUAAUGCCCCUCUACUAUCGUAGGUGGGGCAUAAAAAACAUUUAAACAUAAAUAAAUGUACUACAGGUAAGCAAACAUUCAGUCAAGUUCUCAAGAAAAAAAGCCCAUCAUAAUUCUUUUUUGAAAAUGUAAAAAUAAAAUCUUACUAUAUAGAGUCAAAAUUUAUAAUAUAUAAGAUGUACAAUAUACAUGUAAUGUUGAUAAUUACGUAAACUGAUAUUUGUUAUAGCAGCACAAAUAAAUAACACAG
rnacentral:lncRNA from 1 species